rnacentral:tRNA from 1 species
AGUAGCUCAGUUGGUAGAGCGCACGACUGUUAAUCGUAUGGUCGCAGGUUCGAGUCCUGCCU